AAGUCGUAACAAGGUUUCCGUAGGUGAACCUGCGGAAGGAUCAUUACUGAGUUAGGGUCUUUCAGGCCCGACCUCCAACCCUUGUGUUAAACUUACCAUGUUGCUUCGGCGGACCCGUCUCUUUCGUAGAGACCGCCGGGGGGUCGUCAAACCACCCUCUGGCCCGUUGUCUGCCGGUAGCCAACCUUUAAAAAUCUAUUUAAUUUUAUUGUCUGAGUCUAUAUGAUUGAUUAAAUCAAAAGCAAAACUUUCAACAACGGAUCUCUUGGUUCUGGCAUCGAUGAAGAACGCAGCGAAAUGCGAUAAGUAAUGCGAAUUGCAGAAUUUCCGUGAGUCAUCGAAUCUUUGAACGCACAUUGCGCCCUUUGGUAUUCCGAAGGGCAUGCCUGUUCGAGCGUCAUUAACACCCCUCAAGCAUUGGCUUGUCGUUGGAUCUGGUUUGGGUGACACCUGACCAAUCCUAACAGUAAUGACGGCGUCUGGAAGACCCUCAGUGCAACGAGCUUUUCUAAAGCACGCAUUGAGUUGCAAGGCCUCUCCAGCACGGUCUCUUUAUAUAUUUUCUAAAGGUUGACCUCGGAUCAGGUAGGAAUACCCGCUGAACUUAA
rnacentral:rRNA from 1 species